rnacentral:lncRNA from 1 species
UUCAGUCAUAAGGAAUUAUUUGAUUUCUAUAACAAGCUAGAGACCAUACAAGCACAGCUGGAUUCCCUUACAUGAUGUUCUUGAAGACUGGUUUCUCUGUCACACUCCUGCCACCUCAUUAUUUUGCAUUGAAGAUAAACUGCCAGGUUGUGUUUUCUGAAGGAUUCACUAGCUUUCUUCUUGUAAAUUAUACAGCUUACUGCUUUGUAGACAAAUAACCGCCAAGGAAGAUCACUGUUCUGAGUGCUCAGGUUCCAAUAUGCAUUCUCUUGUUCUGAGAGCCAACAGCAAGUAAUGGUUAAGAACACUUUUGCGUUAAAGAAAAUAGCUGUGAAUAUCAUGUGGUUAUUACUGUCCUGUUUUUGUUUUAUUGCCUGACCCGUUUAUUUUUUACAUACUUGAUGAUACUUGUAGGUAUCAAGGAGGGUCCAUGGAUACAAAGUAUACUGUAUAUUUUAAAAUAGGGAACUUUAGUGAUUACAUUGAUAAAAAUAAGUAGCCACAUGCAAUUAAGUACAUUAUGAUUUUUUUUCUUUAAUACAGUGAGUAUAUUUUCUUGGGAAAUAAUACAGGGAGGACAUUUUAAAUAGAACUAGUACUAGCAUAUCAUUCAGUUCCAGUGUGAGCAUCUCUGUGCACUUUAGAUUUUUCUCUACAUUUAAUGAUUUAGUAACAGUUUGGGGGUUUGUGUGCUUUUCUUUGUACUGCAAAUUAAUAAUGAUUAAUUAUUAAUUUCAUAGCAUGGGAGACAGAUCCACAUAAUGAGUAAAAAUAAUUGUAAUGAGUGCCAAACAAAUAUCCUUAAAAUUCUAAAACAUACUUUUUACAUUCUCUUUCUAUGAAUAUGUUAAUUAAUUUCACUCAAUAAGAUUUUUUGUCUCAGAAUUAUUUGAACUGAAGUGCACAGCAUUUUAUUCUGUGGAUGUAUAUAAAUAUGAGUAUGGUUGUCUGCAGAAAAUAAUAUCACUUGAAUUUUUAUGAAUGAAAUGUCUGUACUACAUUUUUUUUCUAGAGAGAAAGACAGACAUGAGAGAGAAUAACAGAGAUACAAAUAUGACUUCACAUGAAAGAAUUGGAUUUCAGACAUACCCUAUAGUUAAAUGGAGUCACUGAAUUUAAGUCACAUUUCUUAUAUGAGGUUUCUGAGUAAUAGGAAUGUUAAAUGACUCCCAGAUAUAUGUUCAGUAUAUGGAAUGUAUGCACUUACUUAUUUUAUAUGUGCUUAUAUAUUGUUGUUUAGAAGGCUUAGGAAUUUGGAUUAUUUCAGAAAGUAAAUAUUACAGUGGCUGUCCAUAGUUGGUAGACUUGAAGUUUUUAAACUCAAACUUCCACUGAUGGGAUAUCUAGAAGACAUGUUUAGAAUGGGAUUUGUUUCUAUAUGUAGCUGUGUGGUCCGUCUUAAAUUUUUAUAUUCUGUUCUGCUGGUCCCCAGAGGUAACCACAUGACCACUAUAAACGUUUUGGUAAAUACUCUUUCAGCUGAUUUCUUAUAUACAAAUAAACAUGCCUCAUUUCAAGUUGAAUUUAUUAGGCCUUCCUGACAGAGACCAUAUGGAUAGAUAGAAGUUUUCAUUGGUUUAAUGGCCAACUUAACUCCCAGUAUAGAUAUCUAAAUUAAAUGUGACACUUCCAAGCGAAAUUUCUUAUUAAGUAGCUUAAAAUAGUGAUAAAUUGUUUUCUCUCCAUCAGUAUAGUUCAGGAAAGUCUGACCAAAGGCAUUGCAGAAAGGACCAGUAAGUAGUAGGUUUAAUUCCAACUAAGAACAUAAUUAUUCAUGAAAUAUAGUUUUUUUCUUUUCUUUCUUUUCUUUUUUUUUUUUCUUUUUAGGGCCGCACCUACAGCCUGUGGAGAUUCCCAGGCUAGGAGGCCAGGGAUGGAACCCACAACCUCAGAUUUGUUUCUGCUGUGCCGUAGCAGGAACUCCCAUCCUGAAAUAUAUUUAUUGUAGAUAAUUUUAUUUCUUAAGGUAUCACCAUUGUUACAAUACACAAGUCAAAAAAAGUAUCAUUCCCAAGGAUUAUUAAAUGUGUGUUACUUUUUCAGAGAAGUAAGAUGGAUGGGGCAAUAAGUGGGAACUGAAACCUAUUCUCUUAGUACAUUAACAUGUAUUGCAAGUUGCUUAUCAAAAGGAUUGAAUAAAAAUAAAUUACUUGCUAGAAAGUAUUACAAAUAAUGUUUGCAAUUCUUCUGUUAGAAAAUAUGAUUGUUUUUAGUUAGGAAAUACAAAAAAAAAAAAAAAAAAAAAAAAAAAAAACCAUGAAGGAAUAACCUAAAAUUGUAGAAUCUCAUCAUCUAGAAAUGGCCAUUAAUGACAUUUUGGUAGAUUUUAUUGAAAGUUGUUUUUUGUUUUUUGUUUUUUCUAUUCAUAUGUCUUUCUCCUUUUUUUCCUUUUUACAUAACAAAUUGGAUUAAUGCAAUAAAUAUAGUUUCACACUUUGCUUUGCUUCUGUAACAUUGUAACAUAAGGAUUUUUCUUGCCCUUAUUGUGUAAAACAUAAUUUUAACGUAUAUUAAAUUGUCCUUCAUUUAAAUGAGCUACUACGCUUUAUUUAGUCAACCAAUCUAUUUUGGGGCAUUUAGAUUAUUUCCAAUUUUUUAACAUGCUAAAGAAUAUGCUGGGGAAUAUCAUUAUAAAUAAACCUAGACCGCAUGUCUUAUUUUAUUAAUAUAGAUUGCUAGAAUUGGGAUUAUUAUGCCAAAACUAUGAAGAUUUGCUUUCUAUUUUUAUUUCUAAUGUGAUUGUAUUAUAAAAAUAAAAUUGCCUAUUUAAAAAAAAAAAACAGUUAAGAAGUCUCUCUUGCUAUCUCACUCCCCAGAAGCACCUCCCUAACUAGUUGGAAACAUUUGUUUUGUAUCUUUUCACAUGCUUCAUGUAAAUUAAAAUACCCUUGUCUG